AUGCCUAACACAUGCAAGUCGAACGGAGUUCGAGGGGCUUGCUCCUGAGCUAGUGGCGGACGGGUGAGUAACGCGUGAGUAACCUGCCUUUCAGUGGGGAAUAAUAUUCUGAAAAGAGUACUAAUACCGCAUAACGUAUAGAAGCCGCAUGACUUUUAUACCAAAGAUUUAUCGCUGAGAGAUGGACUCGCGUCCGAUUAGCCAGUUGGUGAGGUAACGGCUCACCAAAGCAACGAUCGGUAGCCGGACUGAGAGGUUGAACGGCCACAUUGGGACUGAGACACGGCCCAGACUCCUACGGGAGGCAGCAGUGGGGGAUAUUGUGCAAUGGGGGAAACCCUGACACAAGCAAUGCCGCGUGAAGGAUGAAGGUCUUCGGAUUGUAAACUUCUUUUGUCAAGGACGAUAAUGACGGUACUUGACGAAUAAGCUCCGGCUAACUACGUGCCAGCCGCAGC
rnacentral:rRNA from 1 species